rnacentral:misc_RNA from 1 species
AAGUCGUAACAAGGUUUCUGUAGGUGAACCUGCAGAAGGAUCAUUAGUGAAAGUUUCGGGCCUGCCAUACGGACGCAAACACGUCUCUGGCGCCCAUCACUAUAUCCAUACCAACCCCUGUGCACUGUGAUGACGAAUGUCAUCGAACAAAAAAAACUCGUAUGGUUGAAUGUACGUGAAAUUGUAGGUAUAGCCUACGAACUAUACACAACUUUCGACAACGGAUCUCUUGGUUCUCC